CCAGAGAACUACUAGCCACUGCUUAAAACUCUAAACGGACUUGGCCGGUGCCCUAGACCCUCCUACGAGGAGCCUGUUCUAUAAUCGAUAAACCCCGAUACACCUCACCCCUUCUCGCUUAUCAAUCUAUAUACCGCCAUCGUCAGCUCACCCCAAUAGGGUCCCAAAGUGAGUAAAAUCAUGAAACCAUAAAAACGUUAGGUCAAGGUGUAGCAUAUGAAGGGGGAAGCAAUAGGCUACAUUUUCUAUAUUAGAACACAACGGAUUGUCUACAGAAAUAAAGACAUGAAGGAGGAUUUAGUAGUAAAUUAAGAAUAGAGAGCUUAGUUGAAAUAGGCAAUAGGGUGCGUACACACCGCCUGUCACCCUCCUCAAUAAAGUAACCUUCAAUGCCUAAUUAGAAUAUAUCAAAAAGAGGAGAAAAGUCGUAACAUGGUAAGUGUACUGGAAAGUGCACUUGGACAAUCAAAAUG
rnacentral:ncRNA from 1 species